UGCCACGGCAGGUUACGUGUGGAGUGUCAUUAGCAAGUUUUUUUGGGGCGGAUUUGGUACAACUGUCUACCUAGCUUGUGCGCAAGCUAGAUCGGCUUUGCUAGCAUCGCCUUCAAUUCAACCCCUCCCACACAUCCUCCGCCUCAGAAAACUAUAUAUGAUGCUGCUACAUCAAAUGGCCGGCAAUGACACUCUAGUAGCUUGAGCCCCUCCUCGUCAUCUGUAAUUUGGGGAAGAUUUUGCUUCGGUUGGUGGCUUGGUGCGCUAGUGAAGGGAGUAUAAAAACGGUUACCAUGGGUAUGUGCCUUUUUUAUUUGCAGUGAUCAGUCUAGCUAGCUAGGUAAAAAGGAGUGAUCAAUCUUGGGUAAAAAAAAUCUAUUUGGAGUAAUGAAUCUAGAUUAAAAAAAAAGAACAAGGGUGAAGUGAUGUACUUCCUCCGUCCAUCUGUAUUGGGCGUACUAAUUUUUACACGAAUACCUAUGAGCUGAGCUGGCAUGUUACCCUAUAAAAUUCGUAGCCUGGCCCUAGCACGCAAGAUUUUCUACCUAGCCUGGCC
rnacentral:lncRNA from 1 species